AACGAACGCUGGCGGCAUGCCUAACACAUGCAAGUCGAACGAAGCCUUCGGGCUUAGUGGCGCACGGGUGCGUAACGCGUGGGAAUCUGCCCUUGGGUUCGGAAUAACAGUUAGAAAUGACUGCUAAUACCGAAUGAUGUCUUCGGACCAAAGAUUUAUCGCCCAAGGAUGAGCCCGCGUCGGAUUAGCUAGUUGGUGAGGUAAAGGCUCACCAAGGCGACGAUCCGUAGCUGGUCUGAGAGGAUGAUCAGCCACACUGGGACUGAGACACGGCCCAGACUCCUACGGGAGGCAGCAGUGGGGAAUAUUGGACAAUGGGCGAAAGCCUGAUCCAGCAAUGCCGCGUGAGUGAUGAAGGCCUUAGGGUUGUAAAGCUCUUUUACCUGGGAUGAUAAUGACAGUACCGGGAGAAUAAGCCCCGGCUAACUCCGUGCCAGCAGCCGCGGUAAU
rnacentral:rRNA from 1 species